rnacentral:rRNA from 1 species
GUGAGGAAUAUUGGGCAAUGGGCGAAAGCCUGAUCCAGCCAUGCCGCGUGUGUGAAGAAGGUCUUCGGAUUGUAAAGCACUUUAAGUUGGGAGGAAGGGCAGUAAGUUAAUACCUUGCUGUUUUGACGUUACCGACAGAAUAAGCACCGGCUAACUUCGUGCCAGCAGCCGCGGUAAUACGAAGGGUGCAAGCGUUAAUCGGAAUUACUGGGCGUAAAGCGCGCGUAGGUGGUUCGUUAAGUUGGAUGUGAAAGCCCCGGGCUCAACCUGGGAACUGCAUCCAAAACUGGCGAGCUAGAGUACGGUAGAGGGUGGUGGAAUUUCCUGUGUAGCGGUGAAAUGCGUAGAUAUAGGAAGGAACACCAGUGGCGAAGGCGACUACCUGGACUGAUACUGACACUGAGGUGCGAAAGCGUGGGGAGCAAACAGGAUUAGAAACCCUAGUAGUCC